GACGUAGGGCGCGAGCGUUGUCCGGAUUUAUUGGGCGUAAAGAGCUCGUAGGCGGCUUGUCGCGUCAACUGUGAAAACCCGUGGCUCAACCAUGUGGUCUGCAGUCGAUACGGGCAGGCUAGAAUUCGGUAGGGGAGACUGGAAUUCCUGGUGUAGCGGUGAAAUGCGCAGAUAUCAGGAGGAACACCGGUGGCGAAGGCGGGUCUCUGGGCCGAUAUUGACGUGAGGAGCGAAAGCGUGGGGAGCGAACAGG
rnacentral:rRNA from 1 species